rnacentral:snRNA from 1 species
GUGCUCGCUUCGGCAGUACAGAUACUAAAAUUGGAACAAUACAGGGAAGAUUAGCAUGGCCCCUGCGCAAGGAUGACAAAGUUGUGAAGUGUUCCAUAUUUAA